GUUUUUCCUCUGCCAGAAGCGAUUUCCACCCCCUUGAAUUUCCCAGGGGCUUGGUGAGAAAGGAAAAGAAGCACUGUCAAAGGUUUUCCCCUUCCCUUCCAAAGUGUAAGCCCCUGGGGUCCCUGGCAGGGAUUUGGCAGCCACAGGAAUGCGUGGGAAUAUGGGAGACUUCAGGACAGGGCUUAAUGGGUGUAAGUCCUUAAGAGGAAAAUCUCACCAAGGGCUUCUCUGCAACUCACUCACCCCGAAGUCUCAGAGCAAAACUGUCCACGCCGACCCCCCACGUCCUGGUUUGCCUCACUUGGGUGUCCUUGUUCUCUACAGCCUGGGGCAAGGGUGUGCUCAGUGCCCCUGUCAAGGGACAAGCACAGCGCCACAGUAUUUCCUGAUAUUUUGCCUUCCAGGGCGUGAAGGAGUUAAAGUUUUCAGAUGGAAAGCGAACUGAAGAUCAGACCAGCAGCCUGGUGACCUCCCGCUGCUGGGACAGCAGCAGCUCCCAGCCAAGCCCGGCAGUUCCAUCCAUCCACCGGCUCGGUGGGGCCACGGGGAGCAGCGCACGGUGCCUCAGCUCGUGACCACAUCUGGCCUCAACGUUCUCAGCAGCGGAUCAGGCUCCUGAAGACCUUCACUACAAGAAUCCUACACCUUUCAGUGUGACAGCCUUGAUGUAAAUAGAUACACACGCACUUCGCUUGAAUUGGUGGAGCAGCUCCUGGUAGCAAAGCCAAGACUGUAAGUGUGUGCAGGAUCGGACCCCAAGGGGAGGGUGAGUGGGUGGGCACAGGCUUCCCUGGGGCAGGGACACGGAGGGACACCUCACACAGCUUUCACUGACCCACUAAGUGUCAUGAGAUGUCUCGGCAGCCUGCACAAA